rnacentral:rRNA from 1 species
CAAGUCGAGUGCGCGCCUGUAGCAAUACAGGUGGCGCACGGCGCACGGGUGCGUAACACGCUGGGCAAUCUGCCCUCUGAUGGGGAAUAACCCGCCGAAAGGCGGGCUAAUACCGCAUAAAAUUCCUUGGACUCAUGUUCGAGGACUCAAAGGCGUAAGUCGUCNGAGGAGGAGCCCGCGCACGAUUAGCUAGUUGGUAGGGUAAUGGCCUACCAAGGCUUUGAUCGUUAGCUGGUCUGAGAGGAUGGCCAGCCACACUGGAACUGAGACACGGUCCAGACUCCUACGGGAGGCAGCAGUGGGGAAUCUUGCACAAUGGGCGAAAGCCUGAUGCAGCGACGCCGCGUGGGGGAUGAAGCAUCUCGGUGUGUAAACCCCUUUCGAUCCGGACGAAUACCUCGCAAGAGGGGUGACGGUACGGAUAUAAGAAGCCCCGGCUAACUACGUGCCAGCAGCCGCGGUAAGACGUAGGGGGCCAGCGUUGUUCGGAAUUACUGGGUGUAAAGGGUUCGUAGGCGGUGUGGCAAGUUGGGAGUGAAAUCUCUGGGCUCAACCCAGAGGCUGCUUCCAAAACUGCUGUGCUUGAGUGUGAGAGAGGCUCGUGGAAUUGCAGGUGUAGCGGUGAAAUGCGUAGAUAUCUGCAGGAACACCCGUGGCGAAAGCGGCGAGCUGGAUCACUACUGACGCUGAGGAACGAAAGCUAGGGGAGCAAACAGGAUUAGAUACCCUGGUAGUCCUAGCCCUAAACGAUCAGGACUUGGGGUGCCACCCGUUCGGGUGUCGUCCCGGAGCUAACGCGUUAAGUCCUGCACCUGGGGAGUACGGUCGCAAGACUGAAACUCAAAGGAAUUGACGGGGGCCCGCACAAGCGGUGGAACAUGUGGUUCAAUUCGACGCUAC